UACGUAGGGUGCGAGCGUUGUCCGGAAUUAUUGGGCGUAAAGGGCUCGUAGGCGGUUUGUCGCGUCGGGAGUGAAAACACGGGGCUUAACCCCGUGCCUGCUUCCGAUACGGGCAGACUAGAGGUAUGCAGGGGAGAACGGAAUUCCUGGUGUAGCGGUGAAAUGCGCAGAUAUCAGGAGGAACACCGGUGGCGAAGGCGGCUCACUGGGGGUUUUCUGACGCUGAGGAACGAAAGCCAGGGUAGCGAACGGG
rnacentral:rRNA from 1 species